rnacentral:rRNA from 1 species
UACGAAGGGGGCUAGCGUUGCUCGGAAUGACUGGGCGUAAAGGGCGCGUAGGCGGCCCUCUUUGUCGCGUGUGAGAGCCCCGGGCUCAACCUGGGAAUGGCGCGCGAAACGGGGGGGCUGGAGUUCGGGAGAGGAGCGUGGAAUUCCCAGUGUAGAGGUGAAAUUCGUAGAUAUUGGGAAGAACACCGGUGGCGAAGGCGGCGCUCUGGACUGAGACUGACGCUGAGGCGCGAAAGCGUGGGGAGCAAACAGG